UACGUAGGGUGCAAGCGUUAAUCGGAAUUACUGGGCGUAAAGCGUGCGCAGGCGGCUUUGCAAGACAGAUGUGAAAUCCCCGGGCUUAACCUGGGAACUGCAUUUGUGACUGCAUGGCUGGAGUGCGGCAGAGGGGGAUGGAAUUCCGCGUGUAGCAGUGGAAUGCGUAGAUAUGCGGAGGAACACCAAAGGCGAAGGCACCAUCCUGGGGAGUCACUGACGCUCGGGUGCGAAAGCUAGGGGAGCGAACGGG
rnacentral:rRNA from 1 species